AUGUUUGCACAUGUUUUUUCCUGCCUUCCGUUAAAAGAGUAUUGUUUGCAUGAAAUAUAAAUACGAUACCAGGAGUGUCUGCCAAUGUCACAAAGCAAAGUCUCUUCCCAUGUGCUGAGCCGCCCGACUGUGGGUGCAGAUAAGUCUCUCUCUGUGUCGUUUGCUUCCAGAUCCUUCGUAAAGGGAGUCAUUUGAUUCCUUGUGAUUGUCCUUCCCAGGGGGGAUUUGCAUCAACACAAGUCUGAUAUCUGAACUGGAAAUGAAAAGGAGAACAAAUGCGUUGGAAAAGGGAUUAGGGGAGACGUGGAGUCUCUGAGAAGAUCAGGGACAUUCCAGGGUUCCUUGGAAGCAAAUUGGUUGCAGGCAAAUCCCCAGUCUAUUCAUAUAUAUACGGUCUCUGUGCAGAAUACACUCAUUUACAGGACAUUAUGGAUGGAGCAGGAGACAAGACCGAAGCCUCGGAUGAGAAGAGCAAUCUUGAGAGUGAAGACUUCUUCCUAACACUCACUGAGGAGGAAAGAGAAUGUCUCCAGUACCUGCUGGAAACCAUUGAUUCGCUGGAGGAUGAUAACCAAGAAGACGCUGAAGAUCCAAAUAUAAAUCAAGAUACGAUUGAUGAUUUGGCCAACUCGGCACAACAUGAAGGACAUCUGGACAGAAACCAAAGAGGGUUGAGUGAAAGCACCAAGACAGCCGAUAAAACAGAUUAUGAGAUGUCUCUGUCUAAAAUGCGGAUUAUAAAGUCCUUUUCUGAGGAUUUUCCAGGAUGUUCUAUCACUGUCACAUCUGAGGCAGGACACAAGUCAACCAGCUCACAUCCAAGCCACUUAAGGAAGUUUGAUACCAUCAUGAGAUCAGGGGUGAACGUGCAAGAACUUAGGGCUCGUUUCAUUGGCCAGCAAGAGCCUUCACCAACGGGAGAUCCUACAAAAGUUUCAGGAGCAGCAGGGACAAAACAGCCACCCAUUUCAUGGAAUCCAAAAUCUCCCAGGCAGGAGGCCUUGCAGAAGUUAGGACUGCUUAAAAGAAAACAAAGCAAUUCAAAUGCUUAUAACCUGCCUGAGCCCCAUCAAGACACAGAGCAAAGCUUAGCCUCACAGAACGGUGAGAUUAAACAAACUACUUCCGAAGGAGGGAACGUUCCCCUAUAGAAAAGGUCUGGGAAGCCGGGAAACACGGACAGAUGCUGGCCUCCUUAACUUCUAAAUGGAUUGACUUGGACACUUGCCCAACAGGGCUACAAGUUAUUAUCGUUCUGCCAUACAUUUCUAAACCAAAGUGGAGAGUUAAAACCGUAGCAGACUAUAAUGGAGACACCUGGCUUCCCCAUAACUACAGCACAUAAUGAAGAUAUAGAUAAAGGAAAAGUAUAAUGAUUAUAUGAUUGGAUCAUUUCCAUAAAGACAUGAGAUGGGAAAAUGUGACGGAAUUAAUGUACACUACAGUCAGACUGCAUUUUUUGGAAGGAGGCUUUUAUCAGUUCUCUGCAUUCCUUCCUUCCUCGUUCCUAUACCAAGUUGUCAAUGGAAGGACCUGGGGCUGUGUUAUUGUCCCAGACCAGAAAGAAGUCUAUAAAGGUAAGAGCAAAAAGUCAGCUGGCUGGAGGACAGAAGAGCCAAGUGAUGAGGAUCUGCUGGAGGACAGAAGAGCCAAGUGAUGAGGAUCUGCUGGAGGACAGAAGAGCCAAGUGAUGAGGAUCUGCUGGAGGACAGAAGAGCCAAGUGAUGAGGAUCUGCUGGAGGACAGAAGAGCCAAGUGAUGAGGAUCUGCUGGUGUCCCAGGGUCAGGGAUUUGACUCAACAACAGUUGUACACUUUGUAGGUUUUGCAUUAUAAUCCUGUAAAAUAGAGAAUGUUUUCCUUGGUUUUCAAGACAGAAUCAUGUUUACUAGGCUGUUACAGACUCACCAUGUACAGUUAUUAAUUCCAAGUCUAUAUGUGUAUUAUUCAAUCUGAAUCAAGUGUAACCUAUUGAUUCCACUUCAGAAAAAUGAACCCAAAUUAAAAGCUGCUGAUAGAUUACACCGAUCCCCAGUCAAUAAAUGAAUGAUUUAUUUUUG